GGAACUGCCUAUCUCUCUUUAAUCCUGAGCCAGUGGUUGAUGUUUUGGUAGCUUUGGCUUCUCUUCAGCUGUGGGCUCUAGCUGCAUAGGGCUUGAUACUUGUGGGUAAUUUGCAACUACUGGUGCAGUGGAAUCCCGGGGAUUGACAGAGGGGCAGUGUGUGUAGUUUAGGGGGAGGGAAGGAGGAUCCCCUGUCUCCCUGGCGCCUCAUGUCCAGUGAAAUGUUGUGCCAAUCAAUGGCAUUGAUUGGUCUCUGAUGGAGAUGUAGUUCUAUUAGUUCAAUUUCCUGUUUCACUAUAGAAUGUGACUGUAUGUGUUUGUGAGAGAGACACAGGGAAGGAGUUAUUAUCAACAGUGGGCAAUAGGGGAGUAGUCAGGGGAAGAGAGAGGGGACAGUUCUCUCUGGGACUCUCAGUUGUCCUGAACGUGGGAGUAGUGACUUGCUGGAGUAGAACUAUGGAAAUUAGGGUAACAGGGUAUUUUUCCACGAAGGAAACUAGAGAAGGAAGUAAGAUCAGUCCGAGUGUAGGAUCAGUGUUCUGAAUACAAGAGGCAGAUGCCCAUUGUUGGAUAUGAGAAUCUAAGGUGGAGAAGAGGGCUGGCUUGGUUGAAACUCAACCAAGAGCAUUUCAGAGUUCUUUCCUCAGAAAAUACCGUGGUAAAGCUUUAGUUAGCUAUAGAUGUACUUGGGACGUGUGGUAAAAAAAGAAAAACAAAUAAGACGGGGACCCAGUCCAUCACUCUGAUUCCUUACAACCACAUCAAGGCUUCAAGAUGUGGCUUUACCCCAAGGAACCUUUAGCGCCUUCCUGGCAUCUCACAAACUUUUCUCUGAAGGAAUCUCUCUUCUCUGAGUGUGAUGAAGGGUGUUGAACCAUUGGGAAGGAACUUUACAACAUCCACUGUGUGCCAGAAGACCAGACUGAGUUUCUUUACGUGAUGGCAGAAGUGUUGAAAGAGAACGAGAGCGGAAGCUGCAACACCUCUUGAAGUUGAGGCCUAGAAGUCACACAGCAUCUCUUCUGCUCUACUGGAUUGGUCAAAGCAAGUCAUGGGCUAGUUCAGACUGAGGGGGUAGCAAAAUAGACCCUACCUCUUGGUGGGAAAAAAGGCAGUCACAUUGUAAAGGAGUGGGCACAUAAGGAUAGAAGGACUUGAUUUGGCUAUCUUAUAAACAACCUACCACAGAAGGA
rnacentral:lncRNA from 1 species